rnacentral:rRNA from 1 species
CACGAACGCUGGCGGCGUGCCUAAUACAUGCAAGUCGAGCGCAGGAAAUCGACGGAACCCUUCGGGGGGAAGUCGACGGAAUGAGCGGCGGACGGGUGAGUAACACGUAAAGAACCUGCCCUCAGGUCUGGGAUAACCACGAGAAAUCGGGGCUAAUACCGGAUGGGUCAUCGGACCGCAUGGUCCGAGGAUGAAAGGCGCUCCGGCGCCGCCUGGGGAUGGCUGUGCGGUGCAUUAGCUAGUUGGUGGGGUAAUGGCCCACCAAGGCGACGAUGCAUAGCCGACCUGAGAGGGUGAUCGGCCACACUGGGACUGAGACACGGCCCAGACUCCUACGGGAGGCAGCAGUAGGGAAUCUUCCACAAUGGACGAAAGUCUGAUGGAGCAACGCCGCGUGAACGAUGAAGGCCUUCGGGUCGUAAAGUUCUGUUGUAAGGGAAGAACAAGUGCCGCGGGCAAUGGCGGCACCUUGACGGUACCUUGCGAGAAAGCCACGGCUAACUACGUGCCAGCAGCCGCCGUAAUAC